rnacentral:rRNA from 1 species
AUUGAACGCUGGCGGCAUGCUUUACACAUGCAAGUCGAACGGCAGCACAGGGAGCUUGCUCCUGGGUGGCGAGUGGCGCACGGGUGAGUAAUGUAUCGGAACGUGCCUGGUAGUGGGGGAUAACUACUCGAAAGAGUGGCUAAUACCGCAUGAGAUCUUUGGAUGAAAGCGGGGGACCUUCGGGCCUCGUGCUACUGGAGCGGCCGAUAUCAGAUUAGGUUGUUGGUGGGGUAAAGGCCUACCAAGCCUGCGAUCUGUAGCUGGUCUGAGAGGACGACCAGCCACACUGGGACUGAGACACGGCCCAGACUCCUACGGGAGGCAGCAGUGGGGAAUUUUGGACAAUGGGCGCAAGCCUGAUCCAGCAAUGCCGCGUGCAGGACGAAGGCCUUCGGGUUGUAAACUGCUUUUGUACAGAACGAAAAGUCUCUGGCUAAUAUCUAGAGAUCAUGACGGUACUGUAAGAAUAAGCACCGGCUAACUACGUG